GAUGAACGCUGGCGGCGUGCCUAAUACAUGCAAGUCGAGCGAAGCGGGGACGGGUGAUUAACACGUGGAUAACCUCCUAUAAGACUGGGAUAACUUCGGGAAACCUGAUCUAAACCCGUUACUUAUAGGUGGAUCCGCGCUGCAUUGGCUAGUUGGUAAGGUAACGGCUUACCAAGGCAACGAUGCAUAGCCGACCUGAGAGGGUGAUCAGCCACACUGGAACGGAGACACGGUCCAGACUCCUACGGGAGGCAGCAGUAGGGAAUAUUGCGCAAUGGGCGAAAGCCUGACGGAGCAACGCCGCGUGAGUGAUGAAGGUCUUCGGAUCGUAAAACUCUGUUAUUAGGGAAGCGGUACCUAAACAGAAAGCAACGGCUAACUACGUGCCAGCAGCCGCGGUAAUAC
rnacentral:rRNA from 1 species